AUCAUAAAUAAUUUGAGAAGACAGAUAAUAAGGAAACUAGUUAUGAAACAAUUAAAAUAAUCCAACAGAAAAGAAUGAACAUGGUGACAGUGAGACCGGAAAAUUAUGACAGCAAAACCACUCACUUAUGAAUUGAUAGCAGCAUCAGAAUAUGCUUUCUUACUCAUAUGGUGUAAAAACUUUCACCACCCCCCCAACCAUCUCUCCCACCUUGAACAAAAUGAUAAUUAUUUCUAACUUAUUCUGACAAUUUGAAAAAGAGGAUCUACUAGGCCACGCAUGGUGGCUCACGCCUGCAAUCACAGCACUUUGGGAGGCUGAGGCAGGCAGAUCACCUGAGGUCAGGAGUUCAAGAACAGGCUGGCCACCAUGGUGAAAACCUGUCUCUACUAAAAGUACAAAAUUAGCCAGGCAUGGUGGCACACGCCUGUAAUCCCAGCUACUCAGGAGGCUGAGGCGGGAGAAUUGCUUGAAACAGGGAGGCAGAGAUUGCAAUAAGCCGAGAUCACGCCACUGCACUCCAGCCUGGGUGAAGAGUAAAACUCC
rnacentral:lncRNA from 10 species